UAGGGAAUCUUCGGCAAUGGGGGGAACCCUGACCGAGCAACGCCGCGUGAGUGAAGAAGGUUUUCGGAUCGUAAAGCUCUGUUGUUAAGGAAGAACGAGUGUGAGAAUGGAAAGUUCAUGCUGUGACGGUACUUAACCAGAAAGGUACGGCUAACUACGUGCCAGCAGCCGCGGUAAUACGUAGGUCCCGAGCGUUGUCCGGAUUUAUUGGGCGUAAAGCGAGCGCAGGCGGUCAAUUAAGUCUGAUGUGAAAGCCCCCGGCUCAACCGGGGAGGGUCAUUGGAAACUGGUUGACUUGAGUGCAGAAGAGGGGAGUGGAAUUCCAUGUGUAGCGGUGAAAUGCGUAGAUAUAUGGAGGAACACCAGUGGCGAAGGCGACUCUCUGGUCUGUAACUGACGCUGAGGCUCGAAAGCGUGGGGAGCGAACAGG
rnacentral:rRNA from 1 species